GACGAACGCUGGCGGCGUGCUUAACACAUGCAAGUCGAACGGAAAGGCCCUGCUUUUGUGGGGUGCUCGAGUGGCGAACGGGUGAGUAACACGUGAGUAACCUGCCCUUGACUUUGGGAUAACUUCAGGAAACUGGGGCUAAUACCGGAUAUGAGCUCCUGCUGCAUGGUGGGGGUUGGAAAGUUUCGGCGGUUGGGGAUGGACUCGCGGCUUAUCAGCUUGUUGGUGGGGUAGUGGCUUACCAAGGCUUCGACGGGUAGCCGGCCUGGGGGGGUGACCGGCCACAUUGGGCCUGAGCUACGGCCCGGACUCCUACGGGGGGCAGCAGUGGGAAAUAUUGCACAAUGGGCGGAAGCCUGAUGGAGCGACGUCGCGUCCGGGAUGACGGCCUUCGGGUUGUAAACCGCUUUAGCCUGUGACGAAGCGUGAGUGACGGUAAUGGGUAAAGAAGCACCGGCUAACUACGUG
rnacentral:rRNA from 1 species